CUCUCAGUAGCUCAGCGGUAGAGCGUUCGACUGUAGAAUCGAAUGGCCACAGGUUCGACUCCUGUCUGGGAGA
rnacentral:tRNA from 1 species